GUGGGUUUGUGUUUCAUCUGAUUCUUCAUUGGCAGUGCCCGUUCCUUCAGCUCUCUUUCUUUAUCUCCUUUAUCAGACUUUGCCUGCUUGAAUUACACUCUUUUAGAAUAUGUAUUUGUUUUCCUAAGAAAUCUGUAAAAGUGAUCAAUGGGUGUUACCCUCUUCCAACAUAUGAUUGCCUUUAGCAGUAUCCUCUGGAGAAAAUUUUACUGAAGGAACUUGUACACGAUGUUUAUUGGAUGUCAGGCACUUCCCGAAUCCUCGAAGUUACCAGUAUUGAAGAUCUCUGUGUAGGAGAGCAAAGAGAAAAUUAUUCACAAGGAAAACCCUAAAGCUGCAUAUACAUUGUUUAUAUGUAUAUAAAGCACAUCUUUAUGCAGGUUCAUCAUUACCAUUUAGGGAAUAUGGAAGUGUCAGAUGUGAAAACAUGUUUGACCUAAAAUGGGCAUGUCUGUUCUGGCCCACGUCUUGACUGAAAAGUAUGUAUUCUGCCCACUGCUGUCUCAGAAGAGCAAUCACAUGCCUUCAGAAAAAUAAGACUGAGGUGCUGAAGCAACCUCAGGAAUAAAUCAAGCAUUAAAGUGAGCUACAGAGGAAAUGCAUACCCUUGAAAUAAAUGAUACUUUUACACUUUUCUGGUUUGUUCAACCAUCUUUCUGUGAUACGGACUGACCCGGAAACCAUUAUCUAAAAUUUACCCACACAAUGGAAAUAUGUAAGGAAGAAUAAGAGCUAACAUUUGCAAAGCACUGGCUAUGUGCUGGCACUGUUCUGAGUAAAUUGCACAUAUUAACUCAGGUAAUCCUGACAAAUACAUGAAGGAGAUAUAAUAGUAUCCUCAUGUUUCCUGAUGGGAAAAUAGGCAUAAAUAAAAACACUGUUCUGUGCCACACAAGUAUAAAGUGAUAAAUUAUACCAGCCAAUCUGAUUUGAGACUCCAUGCUCCUUAACACUAUGCCAAACUGCUCUGUCUCAUAGAAAGUACAGCAUAAUAGAUCUAAAUACAGAUCAAAAUUCAAUUCAACAAUAUAAUACUUCCCACAAUAGUGUGUACUUGGAUGGUAUAUAGGCUCCAAGACAGCAUUAGCUGCACAUUUAGAGGAUGCGAUUUCCCUUUGUUUUACUGUGGACUGAAGUAAUCAGGGGGAGAUUCUUAGGAAGAGAAUAAUGAAGUUGAAAGAAGUGGAUGAGAGAGAAUAAAAACUUCCAGGUGGGAGGGAAGGCAUGAUCCAACUUCAAGAGGUAAAAAUGCAAAAGCUUUAUUAUAAAAAAGUGGUACAAGACUGACCAGUGUGCCCAGAGCAGCAGGUUCAAGUAGAGAAAAGUCAGUAUAUUUGGAAAGGUUGCUUAAAUCUAGAUAAUACAUGGAUGUGACUAUCAGGGAAAUAAUUUGGAUUCAUUUCACAGAUAAAACAAAGUUAUCUUAAGAGGUCAAGAACAAGCUUGGAAAAGUAAAAAAUAGGUGUUUGGGAAGUAUUCAUCUGAAAACCAUCUGCAAGAGAAAAAGAAUGGAGAAUAAAAAGGAAGA
rnacentral:lncRNA from 1 species